CCAUGUGUCCCAAGCUUCUGUGACCAUCCGGAUUGCAGAUAAAGAGGUGACCAUUAAGGUGCCAGCCGGGAUCAGGCUAUUAAGUCAACCUUGUGCGUCAGACUGUUUCAUACAGACUUUGAGCCAUAAGCAGCUACAGGCUGAAAUGAUGCAGUCUCACAUGGUUAAAGAUAUAUGUUUAGUUGGAGGAAAGGGUUGUGGAAAAACAGUGAUCGCUAAGAACUUUGCCGAUACCUUAGGAUACAACAUAGAACCUAUUAUGCUCUAUCAGGUACAGUGUUCAUUUUUAGCUGCACUUGGACUAUAAGCAUAUAUGCUUAGGCCAUCAGCAGAAUUUAUGGAUAUCUUCUUGUUAUGACCUGUGUUUUUUUAUAUAGGUAAAGAACCAAAAUAGUAAUAAAAUUAUUCAAAUUAAA
rnacentral:sRNA from 1 species